ACUGGGUGAUCUGCACGCCUGUCCUAUACCGGGCCACGGCGUCACGCCCAUCGUCACCGGCAGUCUCGACAC
rnacentral:sRNA from 1 species